UACGUAGGGGGCAAGCGUUGUCCGGAAUCAUUGGGCGUAAAGAGCGCGUAGGCGGUCCGGUAAGUCCGCUCUGAAAGUCCGGGGCUCAACCCCGGGAGGCGGGCGGAUACUGUCGGGCUAGAGUACGGAAGAGGCGAGUGGAAUUCCUGGUGUAGCGGUGAAAUGCGCAGAUAUCAGGAAGAACACCAAUGGCGAAAGCAGCUCUCUGGGACGGUACUGACGCUGAGACGCGAAAGCGUGGGGAGCGAACAGG
rnacentral:rRNA from 1 species